rnacentral:rRNA from 1 species
AGCGAACGCUGGCGGCAGGCCUAACACAUGCAAGUCGAGCGCCGUAGCAAUACGGAGCGGCAGACGGGAUAGUAACACGUGGGAACGUGCCCUUUGGUUCGGAAUAACUCAGGGAAACUUGAGCUAAUACCGGAUAAGCUCUUACGUGGAAAGACUUAUUGCCAUUGGAGCGGCCCGCGUCGGAUUAGCUAGUUGGUGAGGUAAUGGCUCACCAAGGCGACGAUCCGUAGCUGGUCUGAGAGGAUGACCAGCAUCACUGGGACUGAGACACGGCCCAGACUCCUACGGGAGGCAGCAGUGGGGAAUAUUGGACAAUGGGCGCAAGCCUGAUCCAGCCAUGCCGCGUGGAUGAUGAAGGCCCUAGGGUUGUAAAGUCCUUUUAACGGGGAAGAUAAUGACGGUACCCGUAGAAUAAGCCCCGGCUAACUUCGUGCCAGCCGCCGCGGUAA